ensembl:lncRNA
GAAAAUGUUUGUUGUAAGGGUAGAAUAGAUUUUCAUUGUUUGUGAGGUGGACGUGUGGAGUAAAGAUGUAGAAAUGUGAGUGUAAAUGUAAGACUGAAGGCUGCUUCUUAGGACUGUCUGCUUUGGUACUGAAGAAAUACAAAUGCUUCUAAUACUUGAGAUAAAUGCAUCACUUAAAUUUAAAUAUCUCAAGAAGAGCCUUGUACUCUGCACAUGGAUACUUGCUGAUUACUUCUUUGUCACAGAGAAGAUCAAUGGAGAAAUAAAAUGAAAAGAAUUUGGCAAAGAAUAUUGGGACUGAACUGUUACUGAAGCUAGACUGCAAGGUCUCAUAGUUUUUCAGGAUUUCUGGAGGCACAGGGAUGAACAGACUAGAGCUGGUGUCUCCAAGGGACUCAGGUCCCCAGGAAUGUAAAGCUUCAUGUUAAUCUUGCUCAGUAGAGUCUGAGCUCAAGCUGACAGUAGACCGCUUCAGUUCUUGUAGUUCUUUGGACUUUUUUUGGAUGAUCAUUUUGUUGCUCUAUUACUUUAAGUAGAUGAAGGGGAAGGGGGAAAGAUGUAUUUUAAAAGUUCAAUCCAGCCAUUGCCCUUCCUUUCCUAGAAAAAUAAAUAUAGGAAAAAUAAUU